rnacentral:rRNA from 1 species
UACAGAGGGUGCGAGCGUUAAUCGGAAUUACUGGGCGUAAAGCGUGCGCAGGCGGUUUUGUAAGCCAGAUGUGAAAGCCCCGGGCUCAACCUGGGAAUGGCAUUUGGGACUGCAAGGCUUGAGUGCGGCAGAGGAGACUGGAAUUCCUGGUGUAGCAGUGAAAUGCGUAGAUAUCAGGAGGAAUACCGAUGGCGAAGGCAGGUCUCUGGGCUGACACUGACGCUCAUGCACGAAAGCGUGGGGAGCAAACAGG